rnacentral:rRNA from 1 species
AACGAACGCUGGCGGCAGGCCUAACACAUGCAAGUCGAGCGAGGACUUCGGUCCGCGGCGGACGGGUGAGUAACGCGUGGGAACGUGCCCUUUGCUUCGGAAUAGCCCUGGGAAACUGGGAGUAAUACCGGAUGAGCCCUUUGGGGGAAAGAUUUAUCGGCGAAGGAUCGGCCCGCGUUGGAUUAGGUAGUUGGUGGGGUAAUGGCCUACCAAGCCGACGAUCCAUAGCUGGUUUGAGAGGAUGAUCAGCCACACUGGGACUGAGACACGGCCCAGACUCCUACGGGAGGCAGCAGUGGGGAAUCUUAGACAAUGGGGGAAACCCUGAUCUAGCCAUGCCGCGUGAGCGAUGAAGGCCUUAGGGUUGUAAAGCUCUUUCAGCUGGGAAGAUAAUGACGGUACCAGCAGAAGAAGCCCCGGCUAACUCCGUG